rnacentral:rRNA from 1 species
GAUAAACGCUGGCGGCGUGCAUAACACAUGCAAGUCGAACGAUGAAACUUAGCUGAUUUCUUCGGAAUGAAAAUAAGUGGAUUAGUGGCGAACGGGUGAGUAACACGUGAGUAACCUGCCUUACACAAGGGGAUAGCCUUUGGAAACGAAGAAUAAUACCCUAUAAAGUUAGUCAAUCGCAUGGUAGACUAACCAAAGAUUUAUCGGUGUAAGAUGGACUUGCGUCUGAUUAGCUAGUUGGUGAGAUAAAAGCCCACCAAGGCGACGAUCAGUAGCCGGCUUGAGAGAGUGUACGGCCACAUUGGGACUGAGACACGGCCCAAACUCCUACGGGAGGCAGCAGUGGGGAAUUUUGCACAAUGGGGGAAACCCUGAUGCAGCGACGCCGCGUGAUUUAGAAGGCCUUCGGGUUGUAAAAAUCUUUUUUAUGGGAUGAAAAUGACAGUACCAUAAGAAUAAGGUCCGGCUAAAUACGUGCCAGCAGCCGCGGUAAUACGUAUGGACCGAGCGUUGUCCGGAAUCAUUGGGCGUAAAGGGUACGUAGGCGGCCUAGUAAGUUAGAAGUGAAAUAAUAUAGCUCAACUAUAUAAAGCUUUUAAAACUGUUAGGCUUGAGAGAUGAAAGGGAAAGUGGAAUUCCUAGUGUAGCGGUGAAAUGCGCAGAUAUUAGGAAGAAUACCGGUGGCGAAGGCGACUUUCUGGUCAUCAUCUGACGCUGAGGUACGAAAGCGUGGGUAGCAAACAGGAUUAGAUACCCUGGUAGUCCACGCUGUAAACGAUGAGUGUUAGGUUCUUGGAAUAAUCUGGGAGCCGCAGCUAACGCAUUAAACAC